rnacentral:rRNA from 1 species
GACGAACGCUGGCGGCGUGCUUAACACAUGCAAGUCGAACGGAAAGGCCCUGCUUUUGUUGGGGGCUCUAGUGUCGAACGGGUGAGUAACACGUGUGUAUCCUGCCCUUGACUUUUGGAUAACUUCAUGAAACUGUGGCUAAUACAGGGUAUGAGCUCCUGCUGCAGUGUGUGGGUUGGAAAGUUUCGGCGGUUGGGUAUGGACUCGCGGCUUAUCAGCUUGUUUUUUUGGUAGUGGCUUACCAAGGCUUCGACGGGUCGCCGGCCUGAGAGGGUGAACGGCGACAUGGGGCAGGAGAUACGGGCCAGAAGCAGACGGGAGGAAGGAGUGAGGAAUAUUGCACAAUGGGCGGAAGCCUGAUGGAGCAACGCCGCGUGCGGGAUGACGGCCUUCGUGCUGUAAACAGCUUUCGCCUGUGAUGAAGCGUGAGUACCGGUAAUGGGUAAAGAAGCACCGGCUAACUACGUG